CUUCAAAGAAGAGUUUGAUCCUGGCUCAGGACGAACGCUGGCGGCGCGCUUAACACAUGCGAGUUGAACGCUCCGCCCUCUUCUGCCCUUCGGGGCAGAGAGGAUCACGGAGAGUAGCGGACGGGUGAGUAACGCGUAGGUAACCUGCCCUGGGGAGGAGGAUAACCCUGCGAAAGCGGGGCUAAUCCUGCAUAUGUUAGGGAGUGGCCAACACACCCUAAUGAAAGGCGGCAUCAAGCCGUCACCCCGGGAUGGGCCUGCGUCGGAUUAGCCAGCUGGUAGGGUAAAGGCCUACCAGGGCGACGAUCCGUAGCUGGUCUGAGAGGACGAUCAGCCACACUGGGACUGAGACACGGCCCAGACUCCUACGGGAGGCAGCAGUGGGGAAUCUUCCGCAAUGGGCGCAAGCCUGACGGAGCGACGCCGCGUGGAUGAAGAAGGCCUUCGGGUCGUAAAGUCCUGUCAGUGGGGAAGAAAGCGAUCAUCAAGAAAAGGGUGAUCGUUGACGGUACCCGUUGAGGAAGCCCUGGCCAACUACGUGCCAGCAGCCGCGGUAACACGUAGAGGGCAAGCGUUGUCCGGAAUUACUGGGCGUAAAGGGCGCGCAGGCGGUAAGGCAAGUCGGGUGUGAAAACCUGGGGCUUAACCCCAGGCGUGCAUUCGAAACUGUCUUGCUUGAGGGCAGCAGAGGAAAACGGAAUUCCUGGUGUAGUGGUGAAAUACGUAGAUAUCAGGAGGAACACCAGUGGCGAAAGCGGUUUUCUGGGCUGUCUCUGACGCUGAGGCGCGAAAGCCGGGGGAGCGAACGGGAUUAGAUACCCCGGUAGUCCCGGCUGUAAACGUUGGACACUAGGUGUUGGGGGUUAAACUCCUUCAGUGCC
rnacentral:rRNA from 1 species